UCUCUUUCUCUCCAUUCCUCAGCCGUUCAUACUUUCUUCCCAUAAACAGCCAGAAUCACCAUCUCCCUCUAUCUCACCUCAUCACGGCAGCCGCCAUCCUUCACUUUCCUAUCCAUUUUCCUUCCGGCAGAGCCUCAACAGUCCAACAACUCGAUUAUUUCCCGCGAUCGAGCUUGUUGAUUGUGAUGUAUACAUAGUUGAUAGUGAAAUAAUGAAGAAUUUAUGAUGAUGACGGAGUUAUAGAUUAAGAUGGUGAAACGGAAAUGAUGAUGCCGAUGAUAGGAUGAUGAUAGAUGGUGAAACGGAAAUGAAGCAGAUGCCGUCAAGAUGGUGAUGGUUUCUUUUCAUGGUGGCUAGAAUGCUAUUUUAAGUGUUGAUAUGAAUUUUGGACUUCGAGGGUGAACAUGGAUAAAGGAAUUUGAGAUGAAUUCAAGUUGAGCAGGAAUUAAAUUGACUCAUUGGAGAUUUUAUAUUUUGAGAGUAAAUGAUUGUAAUGUUAUUUGCAAUUUAUGUAUUAAGUUGAAUUUGGAUUAUUGAAUUUAAGUUGUAUUAUUAGCCUUAGCGUUCGGGUAUAGGAGAGAUACCUGAGCGUGGCGGUAACACCCAUUUCUUUUGGUUAGUUAAUGCUUCCGAUAUGUUAUUAGUGAAUAUUUCAGUUAAGAAAGAUUAAA